UGGAUUCUGAAGUCCUUCUGCCUUCUGUAGUGGGUGGUACGCAGGAUCUCUGGAAGGCAGAGGGAGAAUCCAGGAGGGGUGGCUCACUCUGUGAAUAUAAGAGAAGGCUGAACUGGUCUCUGCAGCACUGGCAGGCAUCUGUGGGAGUGGUAUGUUCCUAAAACAAUAUCCCUGCGUGGAAGAGACGAUUACCUAAAAACUCGACACUGAAAAUCGUAAAUUAAAUGGAAGACAUUAAUCUACAUCCCUACGUCUGGGAGAAUUGGAGCUGGAGCUGCCAUACAUCCACGAGUCGAAUUCUAAGAUGUUACAUCAGGGGGAAAAAAUCUCUCUCUUUCUGUUCUAUUCAGUUAGUGUUGCUAUAAAGGCUGGGCACUCCCUGUUCUACCCAGAGCCCUGUAAACAAUGAAAGGGUUAAGCAAGCCAAGCUCCAGUCUUAUAAUUAAGGAACUCAUUUUAGGGAGGUCAAUAGGUGGGAAAACAUUUAGGCAGAUCUGGCUCAGGGGUCGUGCUUAACAGGGUGCGUAUAUAUUAAAGGUCCCCUGGCAAAAGCCCCCAGUCUGAAAGAUUUGCCUGGGACUUUCUCUCCCUGCCAAAUUCCUAUAAUCCACUGUUAUUCAGAGCCCCUUCCCCAUACAAACUGUAUUCUGUUACCGGAUAAUUCAAUCUGAGCUUUGCACUCUACACAUUAGCUCUCAAUGUGAUUUUUUUCCUAAAAUAAAUAAUAUUGUUUUAGUAA